AUUGCCUCCACCCAGGUGGUCGCCAACCUGUUCAUCCUGUCCUCUGAUGAGGUUUUUGGUGAGCAGUGCCCACUGCUGGACUGUCAACCUGAUGGCAGGAAUUCCUUGGCUUCUGAUAGCAAAUCCCUUCUCUCUGGUUUACAGCUGUUCUUCUCGGCCUGCAAGGCCUUCUUUGCAUGUACAUUCUGCAAAUGUGAUUAACUAACCCAUCCUUUGUUUUCUACCCUGCUUUUGAAACUCGGCCCUUCUUUUCCUGUCCCAGCGAGUAUACUUAAAUUCGCUUGGUGGCAGAACCUCCCACAUGGAACCAGUUUCCAUCCCUGUGUCCCGCUUGAACCAUUUUCAGACAGUUGUACUUUGGCUCAGAUCGCUAGCCUGGGUCACUCGCAGGAGCCCGGUGGUGUACUAUUCCCAAAUCAUUGAAUCGCUUCCAGCCUUUGCCUUUACCCUCUUUAUGCCUUCAUUUUGAUGAGUGUCUGUGAAGGCUUCCACUUCCCUCCAUGAUUUCAAGUCCCAUUAUGCCCCUAGCUCCCUCACCUCUUUCCUGUGUACCAUGUUUAAAACAAUAAAUGAAUGCUAAUGUAAUGCUUAUACGUCCAUGCUUUCCUGAAUUGUGAUAACUAAUGAAUACCAUCUAAUUGAGACAGGAAAGUCAUUACAAAUCUCAAACUCCAUCACUCUUUUAGACUAAGGAUUCUUCUAGGGGCAGGUGACACCACCAGUUCAAACUGCCAUAAAAUGUUUACUUGGUCAUUGCAAAAUGCCUAGAGUGUCUUGCCGUUUAAGGUACAGCAGCUGGACCUGUCACUAGGACACUAGCCUCUCUUUUCAACUUCUGGCUUCGUAUUCAGACUGUUUUUAUAUGAUACCAAUCUUUAGAAGGCACUGUUACCUUUGUCCUUGUAAGAAACAGGCCCCCUUUGUCAAUACUUGCAGCUCAAAUUUCAGAAUUGUUCUUACACGAGACAGUUUGAGUCACAUGUCAGUUGUCCAUGAUAAUUUUUUUGAGAUUUCUAGCUUUAGAGCUAAAAUGCACCUCACAUGGUAAAACCAAAUAAAUAACAAUAAUUCAUUGCCACACUCUAUCUUUUCAAAAACUGUUGGAAUCAGUUUUUAUUUUUUCAAUUUUUAUUAUUCCAGAAAGGUGGAUAGAUACCUUGGAUUCCUUAACAUUCAUCAAGUGAUAAGAACAAAUGAAAUACUGACUUGGAGCAAUAAAAUGAAUCAUUUCUGGAAUGAACAGCCAUGUGCUUAACUUGUUUCGGCCUUCUGUUACUAAAACACUGUUAAGGGACUAAAAAGCUGCUUUGGUAAUCCUUGUCAAUCAACAUGGUAGAAAGAUUUCGUGAACUACAGAUUACCCAUAAUGAAUUUGAACUUUUGUUAUCCUUAGUAUUAGCUUUAAGUAUGGCCUCUUAUUUUGGUGAACUCAAAGGCAGUUUCCUGGGCUGUGCUCUGAAUUCCCAUCCUCCGUGAGCUUUGAGAGGAGUUAACACCAGCCUCCCCAGCUGUCAUGCUCCAGGCAGCCAGCCUGUUGGCCUUGCCUUUGCCCCAGGGAGAACAGCCUGGGAAUGAGCGGCAGGUCCAGGAAAGGCAGUAUUCUCUCACAGGAUUCAUUCCCUUUGUUAUAUCAAAAUGCAUUCUCCACACCAAACAGGAUUUCAUCUCUGUAGCAUUGGCUCAAAGAGCCAGUCAGUGCUGAUCCCUGGAAUCUGGUUCAUUUCUCCUUAAAGUAAAAGGGAAGGUUCUUUAUUCAGAAGAGCGUACAUCUAGGGUACUAAAGGCCAUUUCCAAUCAGCUCCUGAGAGGUAGGUAUCCUCCAUUGGUCUGUUCCUGAAUUACUCCGAAGUAAGAGUCUUUUCAGCUCUCUUCCUGUUGCCUGUUCAGACACAAAUCAGAUGCAACAUUGUUCUUUCCCUGACCAAGGAUUAGCUUUCAAAAUUAACUUUGUAACUAGACAUCAGGUCUUCUGUUUGGUAAAGGCCAGGUUUGUAACAUUUUUUAUCUUGUUAUUAAUUUUUUAUUUAAAAAGAAUACUUGUGAUUUGCUCUUGGCUCUCAUGUUAAUAUCAGGUUCUACAUUUUCUUAGUCUGAGUUCUGAAAGAAACACUGUUUUCUUAAUUUAAAAAUUGCAACACAAUUUUCAGAAUGAUUACCUUAGGUAUUCUGUAGCAUGUGAAGGUAGGAAUUUCAUAUGAAAAUUUUCUUCAAAUAAAUGAGAUUUCCUUUAAGGUCACAGGGAAAGAUAUAAUGUGAUCCUACAGACCUGCUCUGGAAAGAAAGAAAAAAUACACAUAUAUGAAUGAAACCUAAAACACCAGAUGCUUCCCCCACCCCAAAGAAAUAAUGAGCUGUUCUUCAUAGUUGAUUAUGGAGACAAACCAAGGUUUAGCCAACUGAGCAGGCACCCAGGGAGUGCCAGCAGUUUGUGAAAUCAGGCCUCCGUGCUGCAGUCAGCAGUGUGCACCGUUUCUCACUUUUGCCUCCAGUGAGAAGACUGCUAAGCAGGCUUCUUGAAAAGUGUGGCACCGGCUCUUCUUUCUGCAUGUUUACCUUUAUCCUAUGAUCAGAAGGUAGAUGAACCCUAUACGUACCCUGCACACACAUAAUUAAUAAAUGAGAGAACUUCAAACGGAUGAUUUGAGUGUAUAUUUCAGAUUUAAUGUGUUAGAGAGCUGUUUGGUAUUGUCAUUGUGGGUGGCUGGAUUACAGUUUUGGAAGAGCUAUCUUGUUUUAUUAGCUGGGGGCUUUGGCACAUUCCUUCACUGUGUAUUCAUUUACAUGAAUAUGAAGACUUUCCAUGGCUCAGAAGGCUCUCCACUAGGUCUUUGAGAUGGCUGCUAACCAGAGAGAUUGUUGAACCUUCCAUCCCUCAAAAGAGAAAUG
rnacentral:lncRNA from 1 species